GCGUGGGUUGGCCCGCUGUACUGGAUCCAGUGGGCUGGGGGAGCCGCCGCCUCAUUCCCCGCGGGCGGCGGAGUGGUCCGGGAGGCGGUCUGCCGCCUCCCGGACCUUC
rnacentral:ncRNA from 1 species